UUCGGUGUGGUCCAAUGGUAAGACUAUGGUCUCCAAAACCAUCAACGUAGGUUCGAUUCCUACCACCGCAA